rnacentral:rRNA from 1 species
GUCGAGCGGCGGACGGGUGAGUAAUACUUAGGAAUCUACCUAGUAGUGGGGGAUAGCACGGGGAAACUCGUAUUAAUACCGCAUACGACCUACGGGAGAAAGGGGGCAGUUUACUGCUCUCGCUAUUAGAUGAGCCUAAGUCGGAUUAGCUAGAUGGUGGGGUAAAGGCCUACCAUGGCGACGAUCUGUAGCUGGUCUGAGAGGAUGAUCAGCCACACCGGGACUGAGACACGGCCCGGACUCCUACGGGAGGCAGCAGUGGGGAAUAUUGGACAAUGGGGGAAACCCUGAUCCAGCCAUGCCGCGUGUGUGAAGAAGGCCUUUUGGUUGUAAAGCACUUUAAGCAGUGAAGAAGACUCCGUGGUUAAUACCCACGGACGAUGACAUUAGCUGCAGAAUAAGCACCGGCUAACUCUGUGCCAGCAGCCGCGGUAAUACAGAGGGUGCAAGCGUUAAUCGGAAUUACUGGGCGUAAAGGGAGCGUAGGUGGCUCGAUAAGUCAGAUGUGAAAUCCCCGGGCUCAACCUGGGAACUGCAUCUGAUACUGUUGAGCUAGAGUAUGUGAGAGGAAGGUAGAAUUCCAGGUGUAGCGGUGAAAUGCGUAGAGAUCUGGAGGAAUACCGAUGGCGAAGGCAGCCUUCUGGCAUAAUACUGACACUGAGGCUCGAAAGCGUGGGUAGCAAACAGGAUUAGAUACCCUGGUAGUCCACGCCGUAAACGAUGUCUACUAGUCGUUGGGUCCCUUGAGGACUUAGUGACGCAGCUAACGCAAUAAGUAGACCGCCUGGGGAGUACGGCCGCAAGGUUAAAACUCAAAUGAAUUGACGGGGGCCCGCACAAGCGGUGGAGCAUGUGGUUUAAUUCGAUGCAACGCGAAGAACCUUACCUGGUCUUGACAUAUCUAGAAUCCUGCAGAGAUGCGGGAGUGCCCUUC